GCCACGAUAGCUCAGCUGGUAGAGCAAUUCACUCGUAAUGAAUAGGUCGCCGGUUCAAGUCCGGCUCGUGGCU
rnacentral:tRNA from 1 species